UAUAGUGUUUGAAAGCAUCCGGUGGAUGCCUUGGUAUGCAUAGUAGAUGACGGUACAUGGAAACAAAAUGAAGUGUAAUUACCUCUGAUUGAGGUCCUCGGUCGUUGAAUUGAGGUGUCAUGGACACAGGGAACUGAAACAUCUUAUUACCUGUAGGAAAAUAUAUCCAGGAUAUUCUGUUAGUAGCGGCGAGUGAAACCAGACUUUGGCUUAUUAUCCCGAUGUCAAUAACAAUUGUUUGGAAAAACAAGCAGGUAAGGUGAUAGGCCUUUUGUUUGUUGGCAUCGGAAUUAUGAAUAAAGUAGAACGAGACACGAUGAACUUCGUUCGAAGAUAGGAGGACCACCUCCUAAGCCAAAAUAUAUAUGCACAACCGAUAGUGAACUAGUACCGUGAGGGAAAGGUGAAACAGAUGUCCGAACAGGACAGUGAAACAGAUCCUGAAACCGGAUGCUAACGAGCAGUCGGAGGGUCCAAAGACCUGACGACGUACCUUUUGUAUAAUGGGUCAACGAGUUGUUGUUUACAAGCGAAGCUUAUGAUUGAAUAAAGCGAAGCGAAAGUGAGUCCACAAAGGGCGACAACAAAGUUUGUAGCUUCAAACCCGAAACCGAGUGAUCUAACCAUGGACAGAUUGAAAGUUUGAUGUGUAUCGACUGAAGGAUCGAACCCGUACGUGUUGCAAAACGUUGGGAUGAUCUGUGGUUAGGGGUGAAAGGCCAAUCAAACUCGGAGAUAGCUGGUUCUCUGCGAAACCUAUGUAGGUAGGUUGUUGGUUGUAUUCCAACAGGGGUAGAGCUCUGGAUGGAUGAUUUAGAAUGAACAAUUUUGUUGAGUCCAACCAAACUACGAAUACUGUUGUCGAAUUUAACCGAUAAUCACACUGCGAGCGAUAACGUCCGUAGUGGAAAGGGAAACAACCCAGACCUUCGAUCAAGGUCCUUAAAUCUGAACUAAGUGAGAAAGGCAGUAAAUGUUCGAGGACGAUCAGGAUGUAGGCUUAGAAGCAGCCAUCAUCUAAGGAAAGCGUAACAGCUCACUGAUUGAUGGAUGUUUAUGCCGAAAAUGUAACGGGACUAAGUUCAGUACCGAAGUCAAAGACAUUGCCAAUCGAGCAAUGCGGUAGCAGAGCAUUCCGUAAGCCAUGGAAGGCAACCCGUGAGGGUUGUUGGAGGCAUCGGAAGCGAGAAUGUUGACAUGAGUAACGAUAAUUGAAAGUAAGAAUCUUUCACACCGAAAGACCAAGGAUUCCCAUUCCAGGUUGUUCCGAAUGGGGUUAGCCGACACCUUAGGCCAAGCACAAGUGCAUAACCGAUGGCAAUCACGUUAAUAUUCGUGAGCCUUUCACAAGUGACUUAACUUAAACUUUGUCAAUCCUUAUUUGGAUUGGUUUGGCAUGUGGUUAAUUGUUAACAAGAAACAGCUUGUGAAUAUAGGUCGUACCAAAAAACCAACACAGGUGGUUGGGUAGAGUAUACUAAGGUGUUUGAGAUAAUUGUGCUGAAGGAACUCGGCAAAUUGUAUGUGUAACUUCGGGAGAAACAUAACCUGACUUUGGGUAACCAAGGUUGGGUAUAAUAGAAAUGGGGGAAGCGACUGUUUACCAAAAACACAGGACUCUGCAAAAUCGUAAGAUGAAGUAUAGAGUCUGACGCCUGCCCGGUGCUGGCAAGUGAAGUCUUGAUGUGGAUAGCAUUUAAGAUGAAACCCCAUGUAAACGGCGGCCGUAACUAUAACGGUCCAAAGGUAGCGAAAUUCCUUGUCGGGUAAGUUCCGACCAGCAUGAAUGGCGUAACGACUUCCCCGCUGUCUCCAGCACAAGCUCAGUGAAAUUGAAAUCCCCGUGAAGAUGCGGGGUACCUGCGGCAAGACGGAAAGACCCCGUGCACCUUUACUGCAACCUUGUAUCGAUGUAUUUUGGUCAACUGUACAGUGUAGAUGGUAAGCGAUGAACGUUGGACGUUAGCCCAACGUAAGCUGUCAAAUGAAACACCAUCCUGUUGCCAAACAACAUCUUUUCAUUACUAUAAGCCAAUCUUGGUGUAAAACAAUGCAAGGUGGGUAGUUUGACUGGGGCGGUCGCCUCCAAAAGAGUAACGGAGGUGUACAUAAGGUAGGCUCAUGACGGUUGGAAAUCGUCAGUUGAGUACAAUGGCAUAUGCCUGCUUAGACUGCGAGACAGACACGUCGAGCAGAGACGAAAGUCGGUCAUAGUGAUCCAACGGAUCUAAGUGGAAGGGUCGUUGCCAACGGAUAAAAGGUACGCCGGGGAUAACAGGCUAAUAACCCCUGAGAGUUCUUAUCGACAGGGUUGCUUGGCACCUCGAUGUCGACUCAUCGCAUCCUGGGGCUGAACAAGGUCCCAAGGGUAUGGCUGUUCGCCAUUUAAAGCGGUACGUGAGUUGGGUUCAGAACGUCGCAAGACAGUUCGGUCCCUAUCUGCCGUGGGAGUAAGAAUGUUGACGGAUCCUGUCUCUAGUACGAGAGGACCGAGAUGGACAUACCUCUGGUCUCCCUGUUGUCGUUACCAACCGGCAUGGCAGGAUGGCUAAGUAUGGAAUAGAUAACAGCUGAAUGCAUCUAAGCCGGAAGCUAAACCGAACAAAACAUUCUAUUAAGAGAAGUGAUAGACCAUCACGUUGAUAGGCCAGAGGUGUAAGUAUGGUAACAUAUUCCAGCUUACUGGUACUAAUAUCUCGAAAACUAUAACAA
rnacentral:rRNA from 1 species